UACGAGGGGUGCAAGCGUUGCUCGGAAUUAUUGGGCGUAAAGGGUAGGUAGGUGGUCUCAUUUGUCAGGGGUGAAAGCCUUGGGCUUAACCUAAGAAGUGCCCCUGAAACGGUGAGACUGGAGUCCUGGAGAGGGUCGUGGAAUUCCCGGUGUAGCGGUGAAAUGCGUAGAGAUCAGGAGGAACACCGAUGGCGAAGGCAGUGGGCUGGGCCGGCACUGACGCUGAGGAGCGAAAGCGUGGGGAGCGAACAGG
rnacentral:rRNA from 1 species